rnacentral:misc_RNA from 1 species
UUGCAGACAGCAUGGUGUCAGGU